AAACUUGUGAGGAAAUAAAGGAAGUUAGGCUGAGGGGCAGAGAGCGAGACUUUUCUAUUUUCCAAAAGCUCGGUCUGAGGCCCCUCAGUCUUGCUUCCUAACCCGCGCUUGAGUUUCUC
rnacentral:pre_miRNA from 1 species